UGGGUAACCUGCCUCAAAGAGGGGAAUAGCCUCCCGAAAGGGAGAUUAAUACCGCAUAAUAUGUUUAGGUCGCAUGACUUUAACAUCAAAGGAUUUUUCUUUUAGAAAUUCCACUUUGAGAUGGACCCGCGGCGCAUUAGCUAGUUGGUGAGGUAACGGCUCACCAAGGCAACGAUGCGUAGCCGACCUGAGAGGGUGAUCGGCCACAUUGGAACUGAGACACGGUCCAGCUCCUAGGAGG
rnacentral:rRNA from 1 species